GUAAAAGCUCAAUCGAAAGCAAAACCGAAAGUUGCUGAUCCUGGUUGUCACAGGUGCAGUGAGCUACACAUCCUUGCUGUACACGUUUGCUUUGUGCCGUAACACAGGACACACCAACCCUUCACGUGCAAAAUUACCUUGACGGAUUGUGAGACGGUUUGUUCCUGAAUGUUGAAGACAGGGAGAAUUUCAACACGUGCUAGCGAAAACAAACUUGUUGAGUCGUCUGGGAAGGAUGGUUGUGUGAUGUUGUGGAAAUCGAUUCCCAUAUAUCGCCUAGUGUAAGCAGACGACAGAUGAAGGCUCCAACUCGUCGACAUUUGCGACAUUCCUGAGCCAGUCUCGCUGACAUGAAUAUUCAUAACUAUCAAGUUGUCGUUCGCUAAAAAAAUAGAUAUAUACUUGUCAACUGAUUCAAGUAAACGAGCAAAGUCGCGUUCCCCAUGAAGCUUAUUUACAGUUCCCCCAGCACUUCUGAGAUCCAUGGGAAUCGCGCAAACAUCCUCCCUCAUCAGACAGGUUUGGUUGUAUCCCUCAUCCAUGGUACUAGGAUCAUCUGCUGCUAUCAAUUGGACGCUGCUAGACCUGCAUCUUUCUAUGCCACCAGUGCCAAGGUCAUCUUCAGGCACUGCUAUUGACUGUAAGAUUUCAUUUAAACAUUUGUAUAUUUAGAGAAUUAGAAGUACCAUGUUUUUGUUCAUGUAAAGAG